rnacentral:lncRNA from 1 species
CAAGAGAGUACAUGAUAUUAAGUUAUGUGCAUGGUAGAGAUCGUUAUUCCUCUCAUCGAUCAAUGAUUAUAACUAAAAAUUAACAUUCAACACUUUUUUUUUCUAAAAUUUUUCACAAAUUUCUAGUAUUUGAAAUAUGAUAUGGUUCCUUUAGAAUUAAACAAUACUACAACUUACGGAGAAGGCUUACAUAUUGUAACAAACCGCCGCCACAGGCCGAGUAAUUGUGGAAGUCUGUUGACAAGUUUUGGGGCUCUCGUCAGGAAUAUUCUGCAUCUUGGGGUUUCUCCUUUUUCUACCUCUAAAGACGAAUGGAUGCCAGGCAAUGCACUCAUAUUACUCCAUAAACUAUAAGUUCGAACGUAUAUUAUAUUUAUUAUUACAUGUUCAUAUAUAUAUACACGGACAAAUGCAGACGCUUAAUCAGUAAUUAGUUUUCGGGUCAUUUAGGUCACUCAGUGUGGUGGGGGAUAACUGCCGCUAUAUUUACAUUUCCUUAAAAAUACUUCAUCUUAUAUUAAAUUAAAGCAUAUUAACCUGCUUGGCUUUUCUGUUGGACUAGGUCUGGUAAAGAUAAACUUUCAAACUAUUAGGUUGUUAAGCUACUAGUUAGGCUUGAGCUAACAAGUUAUCCCCCAUUUCACUGAGUGGAACCUUAUUUAUAUACUUUUGUGAUCCCUGAAAGCCAAUCGAAAAUAAGGGAUCUAGCCAGGGAUCCCUGAGGGCCAAUGAGAACCCUGUCAGGACUGACAGGAAAAUGUCCGAUAAAAUAGGGGAUUGACAGGAAAACCUGCACAUUUAAAAAUCACACGUAAAAUGGACAGUAAAAUGCCUGUUCUUUAAUUAUUAUACAAAUGGGCCAAAGUCCUAACUUUUCCUUUAUUUAAAUUUAGCAAAAGAAGCUUAAAACUUCGUUACUACUUGAUUCCAAUUUCUAGCCGUGCGUAGGACUAGCAGACGCCGGGAGUACUGAUAUUAAAUUCCAGCGGUAAACUGGUUACAAUAUAAUCCCUAGAAACUAAUCUUUAACAGAUAUAAAUAUUGAAGCCUUAAUAAAACUAUUAAUGUAAUGACUUAUUUCUUACUCUUAUAGAAUACUUAAGAGAUUUUAGAUAUAUAAUGACAACGACAAAAAUAUUUCCUACUGCGGUCACAUGACCUGUAAAAUGGCUCUUCACGGAGAAACAACAUAAAUGCUUUGGACCGAUAGUAAAACUUAAAUAUUUCCUUACUGAGACACUUUCAGGACUUAUAAUGGGUUGAAAUAUAAUUUCAGGUAUAUGCAUAUUUGUGCCAGACACCUUACAAUCUAUGAAAAAUAUGUUAUCAAGUAAAACGAGUAUGGUAAACAAGUGGAAGGGGCACUUGCCAAACAAAAUGCCUAAAGUUAAAAAGUUGCAAAUAUAACAGUAUGUCCAAUUCAAAUAAAUGUUCAUAAAGUCAAUAAUAUUUCUGUUGUAGGCCAUCAUCCAAUAAAGUUUAUAUCCAUCUGUAGUUGACUUAUUUCUUCUGUCAGCAUGGUAAAUUCCAGGUUGUCAAAAUUAUUAAAUGUUAUAUUUGUUCCAGUUGUUACACUAUCCCCUCCUUAGAAACGGAAAUUCUCCUGAAUUUUAGAUAUUAUACAGUUAAUGUAUGAGACAUUAUU